AGGUAUGAAGCACGUCUGAACCGGCCCAGCGGGGGCAAUUAAUUUGGGUGGAAUUAAUAUCAAUUUCCAGAGGAGUUGAUGAACAACGCAAUAUGGUAGUUAUACGAAGAAGAUAGAAGAAAUCAGAGAGCACCACGUCUAGUCCAGAUGAAAAUUUGAGCUACAAUGAGAUUGUGGAAUCAGCCGUGAAGCUAUUAUGAACAACUCAUGGGGAACAAAGAACUAUUUAAAGAAGAAACCUCACAGGAGAACACAACGGAGGAAAACGAUGGUGAUGGUGUUGAAUUAGAAGAUUUGAUGAAUGAGUAACCCAUUUCUUUAAUCUAUUAUGUGGUAGAGUAUUAUGUGGUAAGAGUAUUAUAUGUAGACUGUAGUGGAGGUAUAUUCAUGUUAAUACACAGAGAAAAAAGGAACCUAAACACUAAACUUAUUUCAUUGAACAGACGUUAAUUAUAUCCUCUUAGUCACCCAUCC